GCCGGGGUGGUGAAAUUGGCAACCACGCGAGGUUUAGGACCUCGUGCCAUUUUUGGCUUGUGGGUUCGAGUCCCACCCCCGGCA
rnacentral:tRNA from 1 species